rnacentral:rRNA from 1 species
UAGCUAUUUAGGUUAGAGUUUGAUCAUGGCUCAGAACGAACGCUGGCGGCAGGCCUAACACAUGCAAGUCGAACGCCCCGCAAGGGGAGUGGCAGACGGGUGAGUAACACGUGGGAACCUUCCCUAUAGUAUGGAAUAGCCCAGGGAAACUUGGAGUAAUACCGUAUACGCCCGCAAGGGGAAAGAUUUAUCGCUAUAGGAUGGGCCCGCGUAGGAUUAGCUAGUUGGUGAGGUAAUGGCUCACCAAGGCGACGAUCCUUAGCUGGUUUGAGAGAACGACCAGCCACACUGGGACUGAGACACGGCCCAGACUCCUACGGGAGGCAGCAGUGGGGAAUAUUGGACAAUGGGCGAAAGCCUGAUCCAGCCAUGCCGCGUGAGUGAUGAAGGCCUUAGGGUUGUAAAGCUCUUUUGCCGGGGACGAUAAUGACGGUACCCGGAGAAUAAGUCCCGGCUAACUUCGUGCCAGCAGCCGCGGUAAUGUCGGGCC